UACGACCAUAUCACGCCGAAACAUCAGUUCCCGUUCGAUCACCGAAGUUAAAAAUACGUCGAGCUUGGUCAAUACCUCGACGGGUGACCGCUUGGGAAUAACGCGUGCUGUAA